rnacentral:rRNA from 1 species
GACGAACGCUGGCGGCGCGCCUAACACAUGCAAGUCGAACGGAGUCAAGAGGAGCUUGCUUUUCUUGACUUAGUGGCGAACGGGUGAGUAACGCGUGAGUAACCCGCCCUGGAGUGGGGGACAACAGUUGGAAACGACUGCUAAUACCGCAUAAGCCCACGGAUCUGCAUGGAUCUGCGGGAAAAGGAUUUAUUCGCUCUAGGAUGGACUCGCGUCCAAUUAGCUAGUUGGUGAGGUAACGGCCCACCAAGGCGACGAUUGGUAGCCGGACUGAGAGGUUGAACGGCCACAUUGGGACUGAGACACGGCCCAGACUCCUACGGGAGGCAGCAGUGGGGGAUAUUGCACAAUGGGGGAAACCCUGAUGCAGCGACGCCGCGUGGAGGAAGAAGGUUUUCGGAUUGUAAACUCCUGUCGUUAGGGACGAUAAUGACGGUACCUAACAAGAAAGCACCAGCUAACUACGUG